rnacentral:rRNA from 1 species
GACGAACGCUGGCGGCGUGCUUAACACAUGCAAGUCGAACGACGUGGCGAACGGGUGAGUAACGCGUAAUCCACCUGCCCUUCAGAGGGGGACAACAGUUGGCAACGACUGCUACUACCGCAUACUGAAGGAGUGGCUUGCGUCUGAUUAGCUAGUUGGAGGGGUAAAGGCCCACCAAGUCGAUGAUCAGUAGCCGGUCUGAGAGGAUGAACGGCCACAUUGGGACUGAGACACGGCCCAGACGCCUACGGGAGGCAGCAGUGGGGAAUCUGCCGCAAGGGACGAAAGUCUGACGGAGCAACGCCGCGGGAGUGAUGACGGCCUUCGGGUUGUAAAGCUCUGUUAAUCGGGACGCGGUACCGGAAUAGAAAGCAACGGCUAACUACGUGCCAGCAGCCGCGGUAAUAC